CAGGUGGGUUUUAUUCUUAUAUAAAAUACAAAAAAGGAUCUUUAUCCAUAAGAUUAAAGUAUCACUGAAUUCAGUGCUAUUGUUUUAAUUUUUCUUUUUCUUUUUUUGUGUUUUCGAUGGGAAGCUUUUGAGCGGAAUAUUUAUUUUCAAUGGACCGUGAUUUUCUGAUUUAAUUGUGAAAUAUAUGGAUCCAUUUCCAUCUCUAUUUUAAUCCACCAUCAUUUUUAUUAGGUUUGUGAACCAAAUUCAGUCUAGGCUUGAGUGAUUUGGAGUCCUAGUUGAAGUGGUUUUGAAGAGAUCAAAAUUAUGGAUCGGGAAGAAAAAUCGUCGGAUUUUUGCUAGCCUACUGCUAACUGGUCGCUCGAGCAGUGUGCAAGCUUUUAAAGCAGAGAUUAUCUGCCUUAUCUAUAGAAGGAGUUAAUAGAGUUCUGAACGAAUUAGCUCGUUGGUAAUUGCUCAAUCUCUGGAUUAAAAAUGCUUUCCUUUUCUUGCCAUUCUUAAAUCUGUGACCCUCACUCUGGGCUAAUGUCUCCACUCUUUCUAGGUAAUGGAUCAUUUGAAGAUGCCCCUCUAUAAAAUAAAUAGCUUCAGAUAUUUGGAACGGGGCCCAACUAUUGGCUGCCUAGUUGUAGGGUUACUUUUGCAGACAUCUCGAUCGGAAAGACCUCUUACGAGCGGAAGCAAUGCCCUCGGAUGUCAAAGAUAGACAAAUUGAUCGAAAAGACAAGUUAGGAGGCUCAUUUGGUGAGAGCUCGCCGACAAGGCGUCACUCCCGUCUUGCUAGACGAUGCUCGAGGGAAAGCGCCAUCUAGUUUUUCGUUUUAUUUCGAUUUCACGUGUAUUUUGACAUAGUUUCCAGCCUUUUAGGUUAUUUCUAGAUUCUGGGACGUCCCCUAUAAAGAGGAGACUUUUCUUCGAGUUUAUGCAUUGCUGAUAUUGUAUUUUUCUCUCUCUAUUGAUUGUUAAUAAUAAAAUUACUUGGUAACUCUACCUAUCUCUCUUCUUACUUUAAUAUUGUUUUUGCUUGUACGAUCAAAACUUCAUAUCGUGUCAUAUAACCUCCCAUUUUUCCCAACAAGUGGUA
rnacentral:lncRNA from 1 species